CCUACGGGCGGCUGCAGUGGGGAAUAUUGGACAAUGGGCGAAAGCCUGAUCCAGCCAUGCCGCGUGUGUGAAGAAGGCCUUCGGGUUGUAAAGCACUUUCAGUGGGGAAGAAAGCCUUGGGGCUAAUACCCUCGAGGAAGGACAUCACCCACAGAAGAAGCACCGGCUAACUCCGUGCCAGCAGCCGCGGUAAUACGGAGGGUGCGAGCGUUAAUCGGAAUUACUGGGCGUAAAGCGCGCGUAGGCGGUCUGAUAAGCCGGUUGUGAAAGCCCCGGGCUCAACCUGGGAACGGCAUCCGGAACUGUCAGGCUAGAGUGCAGGAGAGGAAGGUAGAAUUCCCGGUGUAGCGGUGAAAUGCGUAGAGAUCGGGAGGAAUACCAGUGGCGAAGGCGGCCUUCUGGACUGACACUGACGCUGAGGUGCGAAAGCGUGGGUAGCAAACAGGAUUAGAUACCCCAGUCGUC
rnacentral:rRNA from 1 species